GAUGAACGCUGGCGGCGUGCCUAAUACAUGCAAGUCGAGCGAACGGACGAGAAGCUUGCUUCUCUGAUGUUAGCGGCGGACGGGUGAGUAACACGUGGAUAACCUACCUAUAAGACUGGGAUAACUUCGGGAAACCGGAGCUAAUACCGGAUAAUAUUUUGAACCGCAUGGUUCAAAAGUGAAAGACGGUCUUGCUGUCACUUAUAGAUGGAUCCGCGCUGCAUUAGCUAGUUGGUAAGGUAACGGCUUACCAAGGCAACGAUGCAUAGCCGACCUGAGAGGGUGAUCGGCCACACUGGAACUGAGACCCGGUCCAGACUCCUACGGGAGGCAGCAGUAGGGAAUCUUCCGCAAUGGGCGAAAGCCUGACGGAGCAACGCCGCGUGAGUGAUGAAGGUCUUCGGAUCGUAAAACUCUGUUAUAGGGAAGAACAUAUGUGUAAGUAACUGUGCACAUCUUGACGGUACCUAAUCAGAAAGCCACGGCUAACUACGUG
rnacentral:rRNA from 1 species